rnacentral:rRNA from 1 species
CGAUGAAGGACGUACUAACCUGCGAUAAGCUGUGAGAAGUCGGUAAGAGACGCUAUUACUCACAGAUUUCCGAAUGGGGAAACCCACCCAAGAUAACUUGGGUAUCGUUACAUGAAUACAUAGUGUAACGAGGCGAACCGGGAGAACUGAAACAUCUAAGUACCCCGAGGAAAAGAAAUCAACCGAGAUUCCCUCAGUAGCGGCGAGCGAACGGGGAUUAGCCCUUAAGCAUCUUGGAAGUUAGUGGAACGGUCCUGGAAAGGCCGGCGAUACAGGGUGAUAGCCCCGUACACGAAAACAACCUUGAUGUGAAAUCGAGUAGGGCGGGACACGUGACAUCCUGUCUGAAUAUGGGGGGACCAUCCUCCAAGGCUAAAUACUCCUGACUGACCGAUAGUGAACCAGUACCGUGAGGGAAAGGCGAAAAGAACCCCUGUGAGGGGAGUGAAAUAGAACCUGAAACCGUGUACGUACAAGCAGUGGGAGCCCUUCGGGGUGACUGCGUACCUUUUGUAUAAUGGGUCAGCGACUUACAUUUUGUAGCGAGGUUAACCGUAUAGGGGAGCCGUAGGGAAACCGAGUCUUAACUGGGCGUCUAGUUGCAAGGUGUAGACCCGAAACCGGGUGAUCUAGCCAUGGGCAGGUUGAAGGUUGAGUAACAUCAACUGGAGGACCGAACCCACUAACGUUGCAAAGUUAGGGGAUGACCUGUGGCUGGGGGUGAAAGGCCAAUCAAACUCGGAGAUAGCUGGUUCUCCCCGAAAGCUAUUUAGGUAGCGCCUCGGACGAAUACUACUGGGGGUAGAGCACUGUUUGGGCUAGGGGGUCAUCCCGACUUACCAACCCCAUGCAAACUCCGAAUACCAGUAAGUAAUAUCCGGGAGACACACGGCGGGUGCUAACGUCCGUCGUGAAGAGGGAAACAACCCAGACCGCCGGCUAAGGUCCCAAAGUUCUGGUUAAGUGGGAAACGAUGUGGGAAGGCUCAGACAGCUAGGAUGUUGGCUUAGAAGCAGCCAUCAUUUAAAGAAAGCGUAAUAGCUCACUAGUCGAGUCGGCCUGCGCGGAAGAUGUAACGGGGCUCAAACCAGGCACCGAAGCCGCGGAUUCACGCUAAGCGUGAGUGGUAGGGGAGCGUUCUGUAAGUCUGCGAAGGUGUAUCGAGAGGUAUGCUGGAGAUAUCAGAAGUGCGAAUGCUGACGUAAGUAACGAUAAAGGGGGUGAAAAGCCUCCUCGCCGGAAGACCAAGGGUUCCUGUCCAACGUUAAUCGGGGCAGGGUGAGUCGACCCCUAAGGCGAGGCCGAAAGGCGUAGUCGAUGGGAAGCAGGUUAAUAUUCCUGCACGACUUGUAAUUGCGAUGGGGGGACGGAGAAGGCUAGGUGGGCCAGGCGACGGUUGUCCUGGUGAAAGUGCGUAGGUGGUGUUUCUAGGCAAAUCCGGAGACACAACACUGAGACACGAGACGAACACACUACGGUGUGGAAGCCAUUGAUGCCCUGCUUCCAGGAAAAGCCUCUAAGCUUCAGAUUACAAGUCAUCGUACCCCAAACCGACACAGGUGGUCGGGUAGAGAAUACCAAGGCGCUUGAGAGAACUCGGGUGAAGGAACUAGGCAAAAUAGAACCGUAACUUCGGGAGAAGGUUCGCUCCUGACGGUGAAGUCCCUUGCGGAUGGAGCUGUCGGGAGUCGCAGUGACCAGAUGGCUGGGACUGUUUAUCAAAAACACAGCACUCUGCAAACACGAAAGUGGACGUAUAGGGUGUGACACCUGCCCGGUGCCGGAAGGUUAAUUGAUGGGGUUAGCGCAAGCGAAGCUCUUGAUCGAAGCCCCGGUAAACGGCGGCCGUAACUAUAACGGUCCUAAGGUAGCGAAAUUCCUUGUCGGGUAAGUUCCGACCUGCACGAAUGGUGUAACCAUGGCCAUGCUGUCUCCACCCGAGACUCAGUGAAAUCGAAUUCGCCGUGAAGAUGCGGUGUACCCGCGGCUAGACGGAAAGACCCCGUGAACCUUUACUACAGCUUGGCACUGAACAUUGAACCUACAUGUGUAGGAUAGGUGGGAGGCUUUGAAGGCGUGACGCCAGUUGCGCUGGAGCCGUCCUUGAAAUACCACCCUUGUAUGUUUGAUGUUCUAACGCAGGGCCCUGAAUCGGGCUCGCGGACAGUGCCUGGUGGGUAGUUUGACUGGGGCGGUCUCCUCCCAAAGAGUAACGGAGGAGCACGAAGGUUGGCUAAUCCUGGUCGGACAUCAGGAGGUUAGUGCAAUGGCAUAAGCCAGCUUAACUGCGAGACGGACAGGUCGAGCAGGUACGAAAGUAGGUCAUAGUGAUCCGGUGGUUCUGAAUGGAAGGGCCAUCGCUCAACGGAUAAAAGGUACUCCGGGGAUAACAGGCUGAUACCGCCCAAGAGUUCAUAUCGACGGCGGUGUUUGGCACCUCGAUGUCGGCUCAUCACAUCCUGGGGCUGAAGUCGGUCCCAAGGGUAUGGCUGUUCGCCAUUUAAAGUGGUACGCGAGCUGGGUUCAGAACGUCGUGAGACAGUUCGGUCCCUAUCUGCCGUGGGCGUUGGAUGAUUGAAGGGAGUUGCUCCUAGUACGAGAGGACCGGAGUGAACGAACCUCUGGUGUUCGGGUUGUCACGCCAGUGGCACUGCCCGGUAGCUAAGUUCGGAAUCGAUAACCGCUGAAAGCAUCUAAGCGGGAAGCGAGCCCUGAGAUGAGUCAUCCCUGACCCCUUGAGGGUCCUAAAGGGCCGUUGGAGACCACAACGUUGAUAGGUGGGGUGUGUAAGCGCAGCGAUGUGUUGAGCUAACCCAUACUAAUUACCCGUGAGGCUUAACCAU